GUCUACGGCCAUGCCACCCUGAACAAGCCUGAUCUCAUCUGAUCUCGGAAGCUAAGCAGGGUUGGGCCUGGUUAAUACUUGGAUGAAAAACCACCUAGGAAGACCAGGUGCUGUAGGCA
rnacentral:rRNA from 1 species